rnacentral:rRNA from 1 species
GAGGGGCACACCCGUUUGAGUGUCGUGAAAUUCUCAAAAACCUUUCUUUGGAAAGGAUUUUGGACUUGGAGGCCUUUUGCUGGUUUCACCUUGAAGCGAGCUCCUCCCAAAUGGAUUAGUGGGGUCUGCUUUGCUGAUCCUUGACGUGAUAAGAUGUUUCUACGUCUUGGGUUUGGCACUGUCACUUGGGCACCCGCUUCUAACCGUCUCAUCGACAAUGAUGGCGUUCCGGUCGACCACCGUUUCAUCGGUGGGAGGCUUGACCCACCACAAACCUUGACCUCAAAUCGGGUGAGACUACCCGCUGAACUUAAGCAUAUCAAUAAGCGGAGG